rnacentral:rRNA from 1 species
UACAGAGGGUGCGAGCGUUAAUCGGAAUUACUGGGCGUAAAGCGUGCGUAGACGGUUAUUUAAGUCGGGUGUGAAAGCCCCGGGCUCAACCUGGGAAUUGCGCUCGAAACUACGUGGCUGGAGUGUGGCAGAGGAAGGUGGAAUUCCACGUGUAGCGGUGAAAUGCGUAGAGAUGUGGAGGAACACCAAUGGCGAAGGCAGCCUUCUGGGCCAACACUGACGCUCAUGCACGAAAGCGUGGGGAGCAAACAGG